AGAGUUUGAUCCUGGCUCAGAUUGAACUCUGGCGGCAGGCCUAACACAUGCAAGUCGAGCGGUAGAGAGAAGCUUGCUUCUCUUGAGAGCGGCGGACGGGUGAGUAAUGCCUAGGAAUCUGCCUGGUAGUGGGGGAUAACGUUCGGAAACGGACGCUAAUACCGCAUACGUCCUACGGGAGAAAGCAGGGGACCUUCGGGCCUUGCGCUAUCAGAUGAGCCUAGGUCGGAUUAGCUAGUUGGUGAGGUAAUGGCUCACCAAGGCGACGAUCCGUAACUGGUCUGAGAGGAUGAUCAGUCACACUGGAACUGAGACACGGUCCAGACUCCUACGGGAGGCAGCAGUGGGGAAUAUUGGACAAUGGGCGAAAGCCUGAUCCAGCCAUGCCGCGUGUGUGAAGAAGGUCUUCGGAUUGUAAAGCACUUUAAGUUGGGAGGAAGGGCAGUAAAUUAAUACUUUGCUGUUUUGACGUUACCGACAGAAUAAGCACCGGCUAACUCUGUGCCAGCAGCCGCGGUAAUACAGAGGGUGCAAGCGUUAAUCGGAAUUACUGGGCGUAAAGCGCGCGUAGGUGGUUUGUUAAGUUGGAUGUGAAAUCCCCGGGCUCAACCUGGGAACUGCAUUCAAAACUGACUGACUAGAGUAUGGUAGAGGGUGGUGGAAUUUCCUGUGUAGCGGUGAAAUGCGUAGAUAUAGGAAGGAACACCAGUGGCGAAGGCGACCACCUGGACUAAUACUGACACUGAGGUGCGAAAGCGUGGGGAGCAAACAGGAUUAGAUACCCUGGUAGUCCACGCCGUAAACGAUGUCAACUAGCCGUUGGAAGCCUUGAGCUUUUAGUGGCGCAGCUAACGCAUUAAGUUGACCGCCUGGGGAGUACGGCCGCAAGGUUAAAACUCAAAUGAAUUGACGGGGGCCCGCACAAGCGGUGGAGCAUGUGGUUUAAUUCGAAGCAACGCGAAGAACCUUACCAGGCCUUGACAUCCAAUGAACUUUCUAGAGAUAGAUUGGUGCCUUCGGGAACAUUGAGACAGGUGCUGCAUGGCUGUCGCCAGCUCGUGUCGUGAGAUGUUGGGUUAAGUCCCGUAACGAGCGCAACCCUUGUCCUUAGUUACCAGCACGUAAUGGUGGGCACUCUAAGGAGACUGCCGGUGACAAACCGGAGGAAGGUGGGGAUGGCGUCAAGUCAUCAUGGCCCUUACGACCUGGGCUACACACGUGCUACAAUGGUCGGUACAGAGGGUUGCCAAGCCGCGAGGUGGAGCUAAUCCCAUAAAACCGAUCGUAGUCCGGAUCGCAGUCUGCAACUCGACUGCGUGAAGUCGGAAUCGCUAGUAAUCGCGAAUCAGAAUGUCGCGGUGAAUACGUUCCCGGGCCUUGCACUAACCGCCCGUC
rnacentral:rRNA from 1 species